CGUAGCUCAGUUGGAUAGAGUAUCUGGCUACGAACCAGAGGGUCGGGCGUUCGAAUCGCUCCG
rnacentral:tRNA from 1 species